rnacentral:lncRNA from 1 species
UCUUCCUCACAUGUUUGUUGAUGACUGGUGUCCACCCCCCUCUCUCUAUCUUGCUUCCCUUGCUCAGUUCUACUACUCUGAUUCCAUACUUCUUUCUGAACAUCAUACCUUGCCUUUGGGUUAAAAUUUGGAGACAUUGAAGACGGGAGGAUUAGGAUGUUGAUAAUUAUAAGCAGAGGGUUGAUGAGAUAAAUUAAAAUGGGAAGGGGCAAAGUUGCCUGGUGCAAAAGAGAAUUGAUGAUUAAGGUUUUUUGGAACUUUUAAAUGGUGGGAAGGGUUGAAAGGGGAGGUGGUGAACUGGUGGUUCAGAUGGGUUGGAAUUGCUGGACGUGCGUAGGAUUGACUCUUCAUUAUUCUCCCUCUCUCUCCUAGGGUUUUGAUAUGCUGACUGUUUAUCAGAUUACCCAACUAUAAACCAGAAAAUGAAGCCUACCCCCUCUGUGUGUAACUGUUACAAGUAACAAACCCAAAUCAACCUCUAAAUCUGUAAAUCAGACCCAAAUUGAAACCUUCCAACCCUAAAUCACUACAAAUCAGUAACCCAAACCCCAAAUCAAUCUCCCGAUCAACAACAAAUCACCCCGAAAUCAACAAAACACAAAACCCCGUAACACAAAUCUUACCACGCAAGGAUGCCUGCGACGAUUGAAUCUAUGGGGGAUCCUGCUGACAUAUAUGCCCUUAUCCUGCUGA